AGAGUUUGAUCCUGGCUCAGGAUAAACGCUGGCGGCGUGCCUAACACAUGCAAGUCGAACGGACCGAUCUUUCGGAGGGUCGGUUAGUGGCGGACGGGUGAGUAAUGCGUGAGCAACCUGCCCUUCGGUGGGGGACAACAGUUGGAAACGACUGCUAAUACCGCAUGAAGUACAAGGAAGGCAUCUUCUUUGUACCAAAGAUUUAUUGCCGAAGGAUGAGCUCACGUCUGAUUAGUUAGUUGGUAGGGUAACGGCCUACCAAGACUGCGAUCAGUAGCCGGACUGAGAGGUUGAACGGCCACAUUGGGACUGAGAUACGGCCCAGACUCCUACGGGAGGCAGCAGUGGGGAAUAUUGGGGCCAAUGGGGGAAACCCUGACCCAGCAACGCCGCGUGAAGGAAGAAGGCUUUCGGGUUGUAAACUUCUUUUAAGGGGGACGAACGCAAUGACGGUACCCCUUGAAUAAGCCACGGCUAACUACGUGCCAGCCGCCGC
rnacentral:rRNA from 1 species